rnacentral:rRNA from 1 species
CAGUAGCCGCGGUAAUACGUAGGUGGCAAGCGUUGUCCGGAAUUAUUGGGCGUAAAGGGCUCGCAGGCGGUUUCUUAAGUCUGAUGUGGAAGCCCCCGGCUCAACCGGGGAGGGUCAUUGGAAACUGGGAAACUUGAGUGCAGAAGAGGAGAGUGGAAUUCCACGUGUAGCGGUGAAAUGCGUAGAGAUGUGGAGGAACACCAGUGGCGAAGGCGGCUCUCUGGUCUGUAACUGACGCUGAGGAGCGAAAGCGUGGGGAGCGAACAGGAUUAGAUACCCCUGUAGUCCCUGUCUCUUAUAC